GAGCCCGGAGAUGGGCACUGAGACAAGGGCCCAGGCCCUAUGGGGCGCAGCAGGCGCGAAACCUCUGCAAUAGGCGAAAGCCUGACAGGGUUACUCUGAGUGAUUUCCGUUAAGGAGAUCUUUUGGCACCUCUAAAAAUGGUGCAGAAUAAGGGGUGGGCAAGUCUGGUGUCAGCCGCCGCGGUAAUACCAGCACCCCGAGUGGUCGGGACGUUUAUUGGGCCUAAAGCAUCCGUAGCCGGUUCUACAAGUCUUCCGUUAAAUCCACCUGCUUAACAGAUGGGCUGCGGAAGAUACUAUAGAGCUAGGAGGCGGGAGAGGCAAGCGGUACUCGAUGGGUAGGGGUAAAAUCCGUUGAUCCAUUGAAGACCACCAGUGGCGAAGGCGGCUUGCCAGAACGCGCUCGACGGUGAGGGAUGAAAGCUGGGGGAGCAAACCGGAUUAGAUACCCGGGUAGUCCCAGCUGUAAACGAUGCAGACUCGGUGAUGAAUUGGCUUUAUGCCAACUCAGUGCCGCAGGGAAGCCGUUAAGUUUGCCGCCUGGGGAGUACGGUCGCAAGACUGAAAC
rnacentral:rRNA from 1 species